AGAAAUUAAUAAUGGGAAAAAAUACGAAAAAGGCCAGAGAUAAAUGCUAAAAUAACCAUAACAAAGAAAAUAUUUAAGCCCGCGGUCUCUUCCCCUUGUAAGUCACGUAGCACAGGGUCAGGAAUGGUUUGGCUUCAAAAUGUGGCUUUUUUUUUCCUGCUCCCUCCUUCAGCUGCACUUUUCCCGCGACACACUUCAGUCACAAGAUGAAUGCAGUCAGCUACAGCAUGACAUAGACAAGCUAUAGACAGUUGAGAGAGGAAGAAGUCAGUGGCACCCUCACCUCAGACAAGACAAAGCUAACAAUUGAUAAUGAAAGGACCUCAAGCCCAACAACUUACUUGUAAACUCGGAAGGUGUCUUGAAAAUAGGUGACUUUGGGUUGGCACGCUUCUUUGGCUCCCCUAACAGACAGUAUUCCCAUCAGGUGGUAACCAGAUGCUACAGGUUAGUUUAAUGAGACAAGUUAGAAAAUAUUUUAUAAUUCUUUUUUUUUACCAGAGAAAGUAAGUGAAAGGUAUUUAUUAUUGCAGAAUAGUUAUCUUCUCAUUUUUCACCUUCACACAGCCAUUCUGACUCCUAAAGUUGCAGUUACACUCACAGAGGUGUUCAUUUUUCAUUUCCAGAUGUAUU